rnacentral:lncRNA from 1 species
GUUGAGUUGAUAGCAUAGGAUUGUAAAUAUUCAAGUUACAGACUUACAGUAACAACCAAAGCUGAGAGCGCCUUUAGGCAUCAAGUGCAGUAAGAAUCAGAGGAACAGCAGAAGCAUAUUAAAGUACUCAAGAACAUUUAAGCAAGAAAUGAAGAUCAUCUGGUGUAAAAUAAGGAGUAUUUGAAUUCUGCAUUACAGAUAAGCAAUGACAUUUGGGAUCAAAUAACUCAAAAGGGGAAAACACAUUUGCUUAGCACUCAAAUAAGACAAUGCCAACAAUGGGCAUUUGGUCUAGUGGUAUGAUUCUCGCUUUGGGUGCGAGAGGUCCCGAGUUCGAUUCUCGGAAUGCCCCAAAUUUUUAAGUGCCUUUUUUCAAGCCUGUACUCCUGAUGGUUAUAAAGGAUUUGAAGGCAAAUGUAGGAUAUCCGUUUAAUACUUUGCUGAACAUUCAAUAGUGAGAUUUGUGUUCUGGAAACUGCAGUAAGCACAUCAUGCAUUUAUGAAUUUGGUAGGAUUCCAAUGAUUAAUGGUUAUUCAUCUUAGACAGUUAAAAUUAAUUAGUUUAGUAAUCCAAACAGUUCUAGAACUGAUUCUUCUUUCUAGUGUAUUUUAGUAAACCACAUAUAUUGCUUGACUUGCACCUCUUUCCAGUCUCCUGUUCAGUAAAUAUUCUGAUGUAAAGUCAGCCAAGUCAAUCAGCCAAAAGUCAUUUUUUUUCAGAUAACAACAUUUAGGCCAAGAUGCAUCCUUAUCAAAUAAAGAAAAUGGAAUGGCAAGAUUUGAUGCUCUGAAAGCUAAUCUUUUCAGAACUACAAGAUAAAAAUAACAAAGCACGAGUGCUGGUAGUAGAUGGAUUUGUGCUCACCUCUCUAGUUUACAAGUAAGCCGAUCGGAACUCCAAAAUUCAACAUAGAAUUACCAAGAAAUCCCUAUAUACAAAAGAUUAAAUAGAUUAGCACAAGAAUUAUCUCACCUAUGAUAAGGAAAAUUUAAGGGUUUGCAGUUUUCCCUUCAGAAAAAAAUCAAAUGUUUGUUUUCCAUCAAAGUUUGUUGAUAUUAGACAUGCAGAUCAACAAUCAUAACUGAAAUAUUUAGUAGAAUGGUGUUUUUUUUUUUUAUUCAUUUGAUGAGGAGCAGAAAGGUGUUAUUAAAAAUCAAACAGUCUCAUUCUUUUUGGGCAAAAUUUCUCUGAUUUCCUACUCACAUCUGGAGUUAAAAUGGAUAACCUAGUGAUGAGUCAUUUUCUUUCAGUUUACAUGAGAAAUGUGCACCAUUUCUACAGUCCAGACAUAAUUAUGCUUUGUCAAUGCUUGCACUUUACUUUACCUAAUGUAUUGGCUUCAAGAGCACUUAGAGCCCGUUUGGAUUGACUUAAAAAAAGUAACUUUUUAAAGUGCUGGACUUAUUUUUAAAAUAAGUAGUUAUGUGUUUGGAUAAAAGUGCUGCAGUUGAAAAAAAAAGUUGUUGAUGUGUUUGGCAAAUAAGUGCUGGUAAACACUUUUUUUAUCAAAAUGUCUGAAAUACCCUUUAAGCUGUUAACAUGAUAAAAAGUUGAUUAAUUUAAGGUUUUUAUACUUUAAAAAAAAAUUAAAACAAAAUUAAUUUAUGUUUUACAUCCAUAAGUAAUAAUAUUUUUCUAUCAUUCACAUAUUUCUUUACCACCUUAUAAGAGGAAUAUAAAUUCAUAUUUCAGAAAUAAUAAUAAUAAUAAAAAAAAAUAAUAAUAAUAGUAAUAGUAAUAAUAAUAAACUAAUAAAAUAAUAAUAAUAAUAAUAAUAAUAAAAUAAUAAAAUAAUAAAAUAAUAAUAAUAAUAAUAAUAAUAAUAAUAAUAAUAAUAAUAAUAAUAAUAAUAAUAAUAAUAAUAAUAAUAAUAAUAGUAAUAGUAAUAAUAAUAAUAAUAAUAAAAUAAUAAAAUAAUAAUAGUAAUAGUAAUAGUAAUAAUAAUAAUAAUAUUUAUAAUAAUAAUAAUAAUAAACAUAAUAAUAAAAUAAUAAUAAUAAUAAUAAUAAUAAUUCAAUAUGGCCAAUUUGAAAAUUGUAUAAAAGAAUUAAGGGCAAAAAGGUAAUAUACUUGGUCGACAUAAAAGAGCUUUUAAGUUUUAAAAAAAAAAGCUCCCCUCCCCUGGCUUUUAGCUUUUGGCUUAAAAUAAGUCAUUUUUGACUUAAAAUAAGUCACUUUGAUAAUUGCCAAACACUCUAAUAAGUCAAAAACUGACUUUUAAGCCAGUUUGACCAGCUUAAAAGCCCAUCCAAACAGGCUCUUAGUUGUUUCCCUUAAGUUAGGUGUUUUGAUCAUAAGUCAUCUAAGACACUCAGCCAAAUGUCUUCAUAAAAAAAUACUUACAGGCAAAAUGCUUUCUAUCCACGCUCAUGGACCACCAAAUGACACGAGUCACCUAAAGCUGAAUAAGGUAAUUCUAGAUGUAUAAGCUAAAAAUUAAUACAUCAUGAAUACCUGCAACAGUACAGAGUUGGGCUUGCAUGUUCAGUUUACUGAUAAAAUCUGAAACUCCAAAGUUCAGAGUCAAGCUAUCCAGGGAUCCCUGAAUAUAAAAUGGUAAAUGGUAAGUUCAAGUAUCUCAACUGUCAUAAGCCAUCAUUUCAGAUAUGCUUUCAAUUUUUGCCAUCUGUUUCCAAUUUGAUUAAGCAGGCAAAACUUAAAAGUUAAGUUAGUAAUCGGUUUUCAUUUAUAUCAAAGAUUCAUCAAGUUUGGAUUAUAACAUCAAUUAGGGAUCAAGGGUGUUUUGCCUUGAUCACUGACGAUCAAUGGCUAAGAGGUCUUUCACAAAAUUGAGGUAAAAGUUCUCUGGAAUUUCACGUUAAAAUGAGGAGUUACAUGGGUAUCCAUAGUUCAGAUACCCAUUUUCAUUUCAAUUUAGUGAACUAAAGAUGCAUAAACAUCAUUGUACCAUGCAGUGUUAUCAAAGACGAAAAGCGCAAAAAACUCUAAGGUCCGUGGGGCUUUAAGCGCAAAUAAAGCUUGGGCUUUAAUGAAAAAUGGCGCAAAGGGAGAAAAAAAAUUACAAAUAUAUAUGUUUGGUCCAAGACUAAUAAUUAUAUGAAUGACAAAUAUAUGACCAAAGAAAUUGAAUUUUUUUAAUGAUAAAGUGAAAUAUCAAUUGUUUAGUGUCACUUCUUCAUAAGAGGCACAUUGGUAAGGAAAAAUUUGCGUUAGAACCUUGAUGACAACACUGAAGUGAGGCAAAGCGCUCAAUACGUUUUGAGCCUCGCUUUAGGGCUUAAGCGCGCCUUUGAUAACACUGGUACCAUGUUGUUUUGUACCAAUUUACAUACCAUGAGCUACGUUGUUUCAUGAAAACAAGUGAAAAGAAUGUAAGAUAAGGAAGGUAGCUAAAAGAAAAUUGAUAAUAAGAGAACCCAACGAGAAAGCCCGUGUUUAACUACAAAUGUGAUAUUUAUAAUUUUAGUGGAAGCAUUCUUUACUUCAGCUGUGACUUAACUCAAACUAUGAUGUUCAAAUAUGCGAUACUGAUACAGCUAAUGACAGAAUCCUGGCCUCAUGUCCAUUGACAGUUCUCAAUCAGUAGACAGUUUCAAUGGUUUUUUUAUUUCAGAUGCUGAAAAGAUUGAGAAUGAUAGAAAAGGACUGUAAAGAGACAAGCACCAGUAAUAAUGAAAGAAGGUACAAUCUUUAAGCACGAGGGCAGCACAAAUCAGAGUAAGCUGCAAAGGCGUCAUAUUUUAAGCAACCCCUCUGAGUAUCUAAUUAUCUCCCAUAUACAAUGGGAGCCAGCAAAAGUACCAAAUGAAGUUGUUAUUUUUAAAAAGGAAGCUACCAAAGAAUAUUAAAGUAAGCAAAUGCAGAUCAACUGGUAUGAAAUACGGAGCAUCUGAAGUCUAAGUUGAAGAUAAGCGGUACACAUUUACAAUCAAAUAACUCAAAAGGAGAAAUUGCCUCAACAAAACAGGUUUUAUUUCCAGAAAGAUCCCUUAAGGCUCAAAGAGGACAACUAGGGAUACUUAAUGCAAAUUGUAGGCAUGGAAAACCUAUUAUCCUAUCCUAAACCAAGCAUUUCUACAAACAAUUAAAACAAGUCCUAGACAAAGUUUGCAAAGAAAUUUUCAUUAAGUUUCAUCAGACAUGGCACAUGUUAGUUUAGAUGGGUCCCUUCCAACUCACAAUCAAGAAUAAAUGAAACAAAAUCGCAUAAAUCAAACCACUACCAAGUAGUGAGCAAAGAGUAAACAAAUGACCAAGUGUCACUAAUAAGACCAUUUCUCUCAACGUUACCCACUUUUCCAGUAAAAAAUCAAGGGAGGUAGUUCACAAAUUUGACAAAGACUCACAUGAAAGAGUCUAAUUAGUGGUACCAGAAAAACAAGUUAGCCAAAGAGAGCAAUCCAACAAAACCAUAUUUUUAUUCCCUAUUAGCUACUAACUACCCCUAAACACACCCAGUUCAAAAAAUCACUUUUUUGGAAAAGAACUGUGGCUUAAAGAAAAAAACAAGGAGCUUAUUGAAAUCAAAUGACAAGGUAAACCUAGGAAAGUAUAAAACAAGUAACAUAAUGCAUGCAGCAAGCACUCAUACAAAGGAAAAAAGUCAAAACCUUAUAAACUAAAGAGAAAACACACAGUAUUCCAAAAUAUUAUCUCAUUAAUCACUUGGAGAACUAUUGAUAAUUUAACAUGUCAGACUAUGAAUCACAGGAAAAAUAAGAGACUAUCCAUUUUAAAGGUUCACAAUUCAGCCAUGGGAUGAAUAUCAAAGUUACAGUGAGGGAACAGGCUUCACAUGUAGAUUUUGAUACCACAUGAAAGAAUCUAAACUUUUAAUUGAAAUGGUAAAAUCAAGGAAAAAACCAAGUACUUUUUAGUACAUUAAUUUUACUAAGGUUGCAUUUUUAUUUCCUAGAAGUUGCACAUAUAUGCGCUCACAGGCUAAUUGUAACAGCCUGAUUAACCGUUGCCAUGAGGCAGGUGCAAACUCGGCCCAUUGGCCUCCUUACAGACAAUUCUCCACCCUGCCCACCACCAACUGUAAAGAUAAACAUUUGACCUUGCUUUGAAGCUAAUUAAGAGAAUCCAAGGACACAAUUCAAAAUGCUAAAGGCAAUAAGUGAAGUAGUUUAAGAUGUUAAUAACCUUUUCGGAUGCUCUUAUGUGAAUGCCAUAUAUCUCCGGCACAAACUAUGCUUUCUU